UACAAUAAAACAACAGGUAAGUACAAUUUUGUUUACGUAAUUAUGUAGUAUAUAAUAUAUAUAUUGUGUUAAUUACAGAACUUAAUAAGUUUCUUAUUUUUACAUGGUUUUUUAGUGUAUAAUAGAGCAGAAUUUAAAUUAUUUAAUCGUAUAAAUGUCCUUGUUCUUACUAAACACUGUAUUACUUCUUUCGGUAUAUUUUGUGAGGAUACUUUAGACCAUAAAAUGUCAGUUAAAUAUUUCAUAACAUUGGUUAUUUUUGAUAUACUAUCUUUGUGUAGUUUUUUAAACUCUAUUUCCAAUAUUUUUACAGUUUCCAUUAGUUGUUUAGAUGGAAUUUUAAGUCCACCUCUAGAAAUAUGUUCGAUCCAAGAAGAAUCAUCUCCAUCUGUGUUGAUUAAAUGUGGGUAUUUAUUACAAAAUUUAUUUGUGACAUACCCAGCUACAUAUUUAGCAGCUUCAUACUCAAGUUGGUCAAAUGAAUUACUAGAAUCAACCUGUGGUAUAAAAUUCAAAUUUUUGAAAACUAUUCACACAAUAUUUUAAGAUUCUUACUUUAAUAAGGAAGUACCUAGGUAAUUAUCAAGGUUUAAAUUUUUAAUUUUUAUACUUACAAACAUUUCAAAUUGUUUUAGUAGGUCAAGCCCUUCUGGUUGAACUAAUGUUGUAUCUUCUCCUAACUCCAAUAUGACAUCAUCAAAUUUAGGAAUGAUUUCAGAGCAUUGAAUAAAUUGGCUAGUUAAACAUUCGUUUUCACUUAAAAGGUUUAUUUCAUUUCCACACUCAGAGUUGGUAUUAUUGGUGAAAAUACAAUUGGAAUGUUUCCCAAGAAUGUACCAGCGAAGACUGAAAAAAAUGAACUCGUUCAUUUCUAAAAGAAGAUUUUUUUGAUUUAUAAUGUCAAGUCCAAAACUUGGUCUUCCAUGGUCGUAUUUGUGUGAAGAAUUAUGCAAAUCAAACCAAUCAUUAAAUAAUUUAAUCAUUGUUGAUGCCUAAAAAAUAAUAAAGUAUUAAAAUGUCCAUUUUGUCCUGCAUAUGAUAUUGCUUUAGCAACUGAAUUUGAAAAAAUGUGUGCUGCAAGUUUUACAUUCAUCCUGGAAGUUCCCUCAACCAAAAGAUGACGUUCACAAAGUUUAUGUGCAAUUUUAUAAUCGUUUUCACUAUUUAUAUU